UUUUGGUUGAGAUGGAUCGUUGUGUCUGUGGGUUUAGCAGCUCUCGUAAUGUCAGUCGUAAUUCUCAACCUGUGGUUGAAAACUAAAGGAAAUAAACAAAAUGAGCAAAACCUGGAGUGUAACGAUGAAGACGAAGAGGAAGGUGUAGAGAUUUAUGAAAACUGAUUUGUGCUGCUGUCAGGCAGAACUGAUUAACAACUUCAGCAUCAGCUUCCUGCAGGAAUCAGACCGCUGCAUAUGAUGAAUAUCUCAUUAUGCUUAACAUCAGGAGAUGAUAAUAGAAAAACUGAUUAUCUUAAAAAGUUACAUCUCUUCAUAUCAGUUUUAGCCUGAAACUUCAUUUCUGAAACGUUUUCUUUUGCUUCUGACCCCCACAACUUUCCUUACUGCAUCGUUUGUUUAAUAUUUGGGGAGUUUAAAUUUUAACAAUGAAUGAAAGUAUAAACAAGAGUCAACAUGAAACUUUUAAAAUAUGUCUUUAAACUGAAAAGCUGUGCAUUAAUGUAAUGUAAUGAUGCAGUCCAAACUCCUCAAUUUGACCACAAAUCAAGCCUUUGCUAGAAAUGACUCUGUUUGGCCACCAGGGGGUGAUGUAGCUGUUAACGAAAUUAUUGGGGUAAA